rnacentral:rRNA from 1 species
AGAGUUUGAUCCUGGCUCAGGACGAACGCUGGCGGCGUGCCUAAUACAUGCAAGUAGAACGCUGAAGAGAGGAGCUUGCUCUUCUUGGAUGAGUUGCGAACGGGUGAGUAACGCGUAGGUAACCUGCCUUGUAGCGGGGGAUAACUAUUGGAAACGAUAGCUAAUACCGCAUAACAUGGAUGACACAUGUCAUUUAUUUGAAAGGGGCAAUUGCUCCACUACAAGAUGGACCUGCGUUGUAUUAGCUAGUAGGUGAGGUAACGGCUCACCUAGGCGACGAUACAUAGCCGACCUGAGAGGGUGAUCGGCCACACUGGGACUGAGACACGGCCCAGACUCCUACGGGAGGCAGCAGUAGGGAAUCUUCGGCAAUGGGGGCAACCCUGACCGAGCAACGCCGCGUGAGUGAAGAAGGUUUUCGGAUCGUAAAGCUCUGUUGUAAGUCAAGAACGAGUGUGAGAGUGGAAAGUUCACACUGUGACGGUAGCUUACCAGAAAGGGACGGCUAACUACGUGCCAGCAGCCGCGGUAAUACGUAGGUCCCGAGCGUUGUCCGGAUUUAUUGGGCGUAAAGCGAUCGCAGGCGGUUUGAUAAGUCUGAAGUUAAAGGCUGUGGCUCGACCAUAGUUCGCUUUGGAAACUGUCAAACUUGAGUGCAGAAGGGGAGAGUGGAAUUCCAUGUGUAGCGGUGAAAUGCGUAGAUAUAUGGAGGAACACCGGUGGCGAAAGCGGCUCUCUGGUCUGUAACUGACGCUGAGGCUCGAAAGCGUGGGGAGCGAACAGGAUUAGAUACCCUGGUAGUCCACGCCGUAAACGAUGAGUGCUAGGUGUUGGAUCCUUUCCGGGAUUCAGUGCCGCAGCUAACGCAUUAAGCACUCCGCCUGGGGAGUACGACCGCAAGGUUGAAACUCAAAGGAAUUGACGGGGGCCCGCACAAGCGGUGGAGCAUGUGGUUUAAUUCGAAGCAACGCGAAGAACCUUACCAGGUCUUGACAUCCCGAUGCUAUUUCUAGAGAUAGAAAGUUACUUCGGUACAUCGGUGACAGGUGGUGCAUGGUUGUCGUCAGCUCGUGUCGUGAGAUGUUGGGUUAAGUCCCGCAACGAGCGCAACCCCUAUUGUUAGUUGCCAUCAUUCAGUUGGGCACUCUAGCGAGACUGCCGGUAAUAAACCGGAGGAAGGUGGGGAUGACGUCAAAUCAUCAUGCCCCUUAUGACCUGGGCUACACACGUGCUACAAUGGUUGGUACAACGAGUUGCGAGUCGGUGACGGCAAGCUAAUCUCUUAAAGCCAAUCUCAGUUCGGAUUGUAGGCUGCAACUCGCCUACAUGAAGUCGGAAUCGCUAGUAAUCGCGGAUCAGCACGCCGCGGUGAAUACGUUCCCGGGCCUUGUACACACCGCCCGUCACACCACGAGAGUUUGUAACACCCGAAGUCGGUGAGGUAACCUUUUGGAGCCAGCCGCCUAAGGUGGGAUAGAUGAUUGGGGUGAAGUCGUAACAAGGUA